GUUGAAGAACGUAGUGAAAUGCGAUAAUUAAUGUGAAUUGCAGAAUUCAGUGAAUCAUCGAGUCUUUGAACGCACAUUGCGCCCCCUGGUAUUCCGGGGGGCAUGCCUGUCCGAGCGUCAUUGCUGCCCUCAAGCACGGCUUGUGUGUUGGGCUUCCGUCCCUGGCAACGGGGACGGGCCCAAAAGGCAGUGGCGGCACCAUGUCUGGUCCUCGAGCGUAUGGGGCUUUGUCACCCGCUCCCGUAGGUCCAGCUGGCAGCUAGCCUCGCAACCAAUCUUUUUAACCAGGUUGACCUCGGAUCAGGUAGGGAUACCCGCUGAACUUAAGCAUAUCAAUAAGCGGAGGA
rnacentral:misc_RNA from 1 species